AACGCAUAUUGCACUCCCUGGUAUUCCGGGGAGUAUGCCUGUUUCAGUAUCAUGAACAACACCUCAGGCCAAAAAGGUGGGCGUCUCCGUCCCUCUCUUUUUUGGACCCUGGAUCUAGGCUGUGAAACUUAUUCUGCAGCUGACCUCGAUCUGUCUUCUGGUCUGGGGUCAGCCAGCCUGAAAUGCAUCCCACCGCGACAAGGGAAAAAGAAAGGCGUGAUAGUUUGACCUCUGAGUCGAUCUUUUCGCCGAAGAAAAAAGCCCUUUGCGGUAUUAGCAGGACAAACGACGAAAGCGACCCCCCCGGGUUGUCUUUUGAUCUUCAACUUGAUCUGAAAUCAGGUAGGAGUACCCGCUGAACUUAA
rnacentral:misc_RNA from 1 species